UACGAGGGGGGCAAAUGUUGUUCGGAAUCACUGGGCGUAAAGGGAGCGUAGGCGGGUUUCUAAGUCAGGUGUUUAAUCCCGGGGCCCAACCCCGGACAGGCACUUGAAACUGGGAAUCUUGAAUAGUGGAGAGGUCAGUGGAAUUGGGGGUGUAGCGGUGGAAUGCGUAGAUAUCUGGAGAACACCGGUGGCGAAGGCGGCAUCCUGGACCGACACUGACGCUGAGGAGCGAAAGCCAGGGGAGCAAACGGG
rnacentral:rRNA from 1 species